rnacentral:misc_RNA from 1 species
AUGCGAUAAGUAAUGUGAAUUGCAGAAUUCAGUGAAUCAUCGAAUCUUUGAACGCACAUUGCGCCCGCCAGUAUUCUGGCGGGCAUGCCUGUUCGAGCGUCAUUUCAACCAUCAAGCCCCAGGCUUGUGUUGGGGACCUGCGGCUGCCGCAGGCCCUGAAAACCAGUGGCGGGCUCGUUGUCACACCGGGCGUAGUAGAUUUUAUCUCGCUCAGGGCGUGCUGCGGGUUCCGGCCGUUAAAAAGCCUUUUUUACCCAAGGUUGACCUCGGAUCAGGUAGGAAGACCCGCUGAACUUAA